rnacentral:lncRNA from 1 species
UCUCUCUUCUGAUGACUGUCCGCAGUUAUGGUGAUGUGUCUCUCGGGUUAUUCCAUCAAUCGAUUGGUUGGUAGACUAGAAUCCUGGAAUAGAUGACUAGGUCAGGAAAUUAGUUCGGGCGUGAUAUUGACCGAUCUACCCAUUUGGACUUAAUUCAACCCUGCUUAAUUACCUGUCAUGUAGUUCUUUCGAUUAUGAGAAACAGUAGUUGUAGACUUCUGAAUUCGUGAGCACUCGUUUUGAAGU